UACAGAGGUGGCUAGCGUUGUUCGGAUUCAUUGGGUGUAAAGGGUGCGUAGGCGGUUUGGAAGGUCUGAUGUGAAAGCCCACAGCUUAACUGUGGAAAUGCAUUUGAAACUUCCAGACUAGAGUGCGGGAGAGGUGAAGGGAAUUCCCGGUGUAAGGGUGAAAUCUGCAGAGAUCGGGAGGAACACCAGUAGCGAAGGCGCUUCACUGGCUCGUAACUGACGCUGAGUGCACGAAGGCGUGGGGAGCAAACGGG
rnacentral:rRNA from 1 species